rfam:Pan troglodytes isolate Yerkes chimp pedigree #C0471 (Clint) chromosome 7, whole genome shotgun sequence.
GCCGGGUGUGGUGGUGGGCGCCUGUAAUCCCAGCUACUUGGGAGGCUGAGGCAGGAGAAUCACUUGAACCUGGGAGGCGGAGGUUGCAGUGAGCUGAGAUUGCACCACUGUACUCCAGCCUGGGUGACAGAGUGAGACCUUGUCUCAA